CAUAUUUCGUUAGUAUGAAGAGCGUUUCUUCCACGUGGACAGGGUAAGUUUUGAUUACUUUUACGAACGAUAGAGUGGUGCAUGCAGUAUUCUCAUCCAGUGUCUUGCGAAUAAUUAAAUCAAAAACCGCCCCCAUACGUAAAUCUUAAUUUUGGAAGGUAGUAGAGGAUUGGCAAAUAUUUUUGGAACGAAAUACAUGGAUCCGUCUUAUACCUCUGAUGGUGGAUUUUUUUAGAGUCAAUCCACUUCAAUUGUCAACGACAUCUUUGAGACAGAGGCCGUAGAAUAAUCGCAAUACUGUUCGAGAAGUACAAACGGUCUUGUGUGAUUUCUAAUUAAAAUUGGAGAUAGCCAACACCAUUCUAGAACAUAAUACAGGGGUGUAAUUUAGUGGUUUCUAUUUGUCAGAAAAUGUCACUACGUUUUCACUUGGGGUUCCUAAUUAAACCACCACCAACACCACAUUGCCAUGGAAAACAGGUUAACUCACUUGGAUUGUCACCGAUUUUUUGGAAAUGGAGGGGGUAAGGCCAUGGAAUGAUCCCGGUGCUGUCCCGAGAAGUACCCUAAUUGGUAGAUAAAGUCAUCGCGUUUUCAUAUGGGAUUCUCAUAACAGGCUAUAACGCAAACUUACAUUUUUUUAGAUGGUAAUCAUAGUUGGCGGUGACAUUUUUAAAAAGUGCAUUUUUUUCUGUUUACAAUGGUAUAAGGUUCAUUGUACUUACUUAGACAAUAAACAUGAUAAAGAACUUUUUGUAUUAUUAAGAGUAGUAAGAACAGAUUUUGCCAUGGGAAACAUUUUUG